GCCGCGGAGGGUCUGAGUUUUGGCAGCGUCGCCGAGGCGCUGAGCGGCAAGCUGUCCCUGAUGCCGAUCCAGUUUCGACCGACACCCGAGCCGGAAAAUUCGUCGCAGGGCUUCAACCUGCAGGCAGCUGUGAGCUUCAUAGAGAAAGGGUGGAUGUCUGUAAUGGAAGACAAAAGAAAAGGCAGGCAAGUUGUGUACUGGAGAGACCAGUGAACGAGAGUGCUUGUGGAGAGUUACAAGCUGACACGCCGUUGCGGAUUCUCUCGCGACGCCGCCGUCUCCGUUCGUUUUCUCGUGCGUGGCCGUUGGACAUUGCGUGCCAUCUGACUGUUAAUUGCUCGUGGGGAUGAGGCGACAGGAGUGUGCCACAACGCGUGUUUAGAAGUAAAAAGCUACUGAGCGAAGCCAGCAGCGUUGUAGUGUAGGUUAGUGCGUGUGGUUGCGCGCAUGUGUGCGUGCGUGUGGUUGCGUGUGUGUUUGUAUGUGUG